GAGGGGCGCGAGGGGGCGCGGCGCUAGCUGCCCGGCCGUCGCUGCCGUCGUCGCCAUGAGCGUGUCGCUGCGGAAUGCUCAACGGGUCGUGCCGCUGCGCCGGGUCCCGCUCCGCCGCGCCGUCUGCGCCCUGCGGGACGCCCUGGGCGCCUCCCGCUUCGACGUGGGGGUAAUCUGCGCCGGUAAUGGGCUGAUGCGGCGUCUCAACGGCGCCUACCGGCAGCGCCCGGAGCCCACCGACGUCCUCUCUUUCCCCUUCCAUCGGGUGGCGGCGGGGGACCUGCCGCGGCCGAGCAGCCGCGACGAAUACAACCUGGGGGACAUCUUCCUGGGAGUGGAGUACAUCCAGGAGCAGUGCCGCGCCGCCGGGGAGGACUUCGACGGCGUCCUCGUGGUGACGGCAGCCCAUGGGCUAUGCCACUUGCUUGGCUACCAGCACGACACAAAACGCGAGUGGCAACAGAAGGCUGUGUGCACAUGUCCUGCGCCCUCCCCCGCAGAUGUACCGGAAGGAGGCGGAGAUCCUGGAAGAGCUGAACCGGCGAACCGGCUCCAGCCUCAAGCCCCUCACCGCCGGCCUCUUCUGAGGGACCCGCGCCGGGACUGCCCUCCGGCCGCCGCUUCCCGCCCCCGCGCCGAGGGGCCGGGCCGCCGCCGGGGCCGCCCCGGACGUGGCGCGGGGAUGGCGGCGCGGGGUCGCGGCCGCUGCCUCCCGCCACUGCUGCUGGGCCUAGCCGCGCUCGCUCUCCCGCCGCCCGCAGUGGCCCAGCCGCCGCCCGCCGCUCUCCGCGCCGGGCACGGCGCCUCCUCGCUGCCUGCCGCCGCCGCCGCCCCGCGCACACGGUACCUCUUGUAUGAUGUCAAUCCUCCCGAAGGGUUCAACCUUCGCAGAGACGUCUACAUUCGCAUUGCUUCCCUUCUAAAGACCUUGCGGAAAAGUGAAAACUGGGUGUUGGUUCUGCCUCCCUGGGGACGCCUUUAUCACUGGCAGAGCCCCGAUAUCCUCCAGGUCCGGAUCCCUUGGUCUGAGUUCUUUGAUCUCCCAAGCCUCAACAGGAACAUCCCCGUUAUUGAAUAUGAGCAGUUCCUUGCAGAAUCAGGUGGGCCCUUCAUUGAGCAGAUUUAUGUCCUACAAGGAUAUGCAGAGGGAUGGAAAGAAGGAACAUGGGAAGAAAAAGUAGAUGAAAGGCCGUGCAUCGAUCAGCUCAUGUACUCCAAAGACAAGCAUGGCUACUACAGGGGAUGGUUCUGGGGUUAUGAGGAAACGAGGGGCCUAAAUGUCUCCUGUUUGUCUGUCCAAGGAUCUGCCUCUAUCAUGGCUCCCAUCCUUUUGAAGAACACUUCAGCACAGUCAGUGAUGUUAGACAGAGCUGAAAACCUUCUUCAUGACCACUACGGAGGGAAAGAUUAUUGGAAUACCCGUCGGAGCAUGGUGUUUGCUAAACACCUGCGUGUCGUGGGAGACGAGUUCAGAAACAAGUACCUUCAAUCCACGGAUGAGGCAGACAGGACCCAUUACAAGGAGGACUGGACACAGAUGAAGGUUAAGACGGGCACAGCUCUAGGUGGUCCAUACCUUGGGGUUCAUCUCCGAAGGAAAGACUUCAUUUGGGGUCACAGAGAAGAUGUGCCUUCCCUGCAAGGAGCAGCAAAGAAAAUCCGCAGCCUCCUGGAGACACAUCAACUUGGGAAAGUUUUUGUAGCCACUGACGCCGUGGAGGAGGAAGUUGAGCUGCUGAGGAAAUUGCUGCCUGAGAUGGUGAGGUUUGAACCUUCUUGGGAGGAGCUGGAACUCUACAAAGAUGGGGGCUUGGCCGUGAUUGACCAGUGGAUCUGUGCUCAUGCAAGGUAUUUUAUAGGCACCUCAGUGUCAACGUUUUCCUUCCGGAUCCACGAGGAAAGGGAGAUCUUGGGAUUUGAUCCAAAAACAACUUACAACAGAUUUUGUGGGGAAAAAGAGAAAAACUGUGAGCAGCCAACUCACUGGAAAAUCGUGUACUAAAGCAGAGAGAAAUCCAAGGGCUUUGAGACCGCUGAGCUCGAGGGAAUAAGGAAAAACUGCAGAGAAAUACCUCCCUUUGCCCAAACCACAGCUCAGUCCUCUGCCCUCUUCUCAGUGUUCCCUUGACGUUUGAGUUUUGAAGUACAAGCAAUACUCAUCUUCAUCAGACAUUGAUGGGAGUGAGAAAAACGAAGUCAGCCCGAGCCCCAGCUGUCAGCCCGAGCCCCAGCUGUCAGCCCGAGCCCCAGCUGUCAGCCCAGCCAGGAUCGCUGGACAACACCAGACACUGCAACUGAGACCCAAAAGGCAAAACUUUGUCCUGAGACUGAGUCUGCGUGGCUCUCUGAAGCAGGAGAAAACCUUUCCAAAGUUGGGCUGGGAGAUCCAGAUUCCAGAAGGUGAAGCAGACAUUUUUCCUCCAAGUCAGUUCUACCAGAUGACCUUGCUGUGAGCAGACCCUUCUCUUGCUCUUCCCUCUGGGCUUGAGCAGGAGCAUGUGUAAUCCUCCUGCACGGUGCAGUGGCCAUUUCACAGAUGCUCCCAGACAAUUAGGUUCUUCCCUCCCAAGCAACUGCAGCAGAAACUGUGAGGACUCUUGGACAGCAGCAGCUCUGCUGUUCCUACCAGCUGUUUAUUGCUGGUUACUGUCUCUGUGCGACAGCAGAGCCUCUCUGGCUCUGAAGCAGGGAGCCCACCAGGUCAAAGCAGUGCCUUUUCCCACAUCAAACCUUCUUUAGCCUGCGUGCUGUGUAAAGCACUAGCAGCAUUUUACAUGGAAUGUACACCUCAUUAAGAAAAAAUAAAAGCU